AGAGCGAACGCUGGCGGCAGGCCUAACACAUGCAAGUCGAGCGCCCGUAGCAAUACGGGAGCGGCAGACGGGAUAGUAACACGUGGGAACGCGCCCUUCGGUUCGGAAUAACUCAGGGAAACUUGAGCUAAUACCGGAUACGCCCUUACGGGGAAAGAUUUAUUGCCGAAGGAACGGCCCGCGUCCGAUUAGCUAGUUGGUGAGGUAAUGGCUCACCAAGGCGACGAUCGGUAGCUGGUCUGAGAGGAUGACCAGCAUCACUGGGACUGAGACACGGCCCAGACUCCUACGGGAGGCAGCAGUGGGGAAUAUGGACAAUGGGCGCAAGCCUGAUCCAGCCAUGCCGCGUGGAUGAUGAAGGCCUUAGGGUUGUAAAGUCCGUUUUAACGGGGAAGAUAAUGACGGUACUCGUAGAAUAAGCCCCGGCUAACUUCGCGCCAGCAGCCGC
rnacentral:rRNA from 1 species